rnacentral:rRNA from 1 species
GUCCUUUUGAGAAUAAUUUAAGGUCUAAUCUGCUCAGUGAAAAUUAAAUAGCCGCAGUAUUUUAACUGUGCAAAGGUAGCAUAAUAAAUAGUUUUUUAAUUGAAAUCUGGAAUGAAUGAUUGGACAAGAAAAUAUCUGUCUCUUUAUAAAUUGUUUUUGAAUUUAAUUUUUAAGUUAAAAAGCUUAAAUGUUUUUAAAAGACGAGAAGACCCUAUAGAGUUUUAUUUAUUUUAAUUAAUUUAGAAUUUAAUUUUUAACAAUAAAUUUGGUUGGGGUGAUUAAAAGAUUUAAUAAACUCUUUUAUUUUUUAUCAUUGAUUUAUGAAUUUUGAAUCUUUAUUUUAAAAUUUUAAAUUAAAUUACCUUAGGGAUAACAGCGUAAUUUUUUUUUAAAGUUCUUAUUGAAAGAAAAGUUUGCGACCUCGAUGUUGGAUUAAAAUUUAUUUUUGGUGUAGAAGCUGAAAUAUUAAGUCUGUUCGACUUAAAAU